CCCCCAGCGGAAUGCAGGUCCACGUGGGACAGCCCAGCCUCUUCCCUGCAGCCCCGCCCAGGUUCUCCUGGUCGAGUCUGGCAGCGCAGGCUGGUUGCGGGCGGAGACCGGAGUACUUUCGCCUGGCCCCCCGCAGGUCAUCACGCGGGGAUCCGGAGGUCGCAGCCAAGGUCAUUCCGCGUUUCUCCCACGCGGGCCCAGUGUUUUUGUGCGCGGUAGGAGCCGGGCUUCUGGCCCGGCUCCCCCUGUCUGUUCCGAGGUGAUGCGGAGGAGGCUGGAGUCCUGGCUCCGUGCCACACCUGUGACUUGUCCUUGGCCGGACAGGCUCUGCCCGUCGCCUGGCGGGGGUGGGAGGGCCCUCACGUGGUCGCCUUGCUCCCGCAGUCAUGCACUUGGGUGAAAACUGAAAGAUUGAAGAGUCACGAGAACCCGCUUGCGCUCCCAUUUGUGCACAGAACUUCAGGGUAGCUGUGGGUCAUUAAUUUCCCCCUGGCAGGCCUGCGUUUUUCCGAGCUGAGGCUGUGGCGCAGCGGAGAGGACACUGUUUGAGAUUCAAAUUCUGACUCUUGCUGCACUGUGUCACCUUGAGCAAAUCCUCCGUGAGAGACCGAGUUGUCAAAGUGAAAUAUGAGCGGUCCGUGUGAUUGGAGAACGGAUUAGGAUUAGGAAUUAAGCGUAAUACAGAUUCAAUUCCCGUUUCUGCUCAUCAGGGCUUGUGAUCACAGGCAGCACUAACUCAGGCUUCCCAACAACACCAGAAGCCCCUGGAGCAUAGAGGAAUUGACAGAUCGAUAGAAGACUGAUAACAUGAGGUACCAAAAAAGAUUCCUGAUGGCUGGCUUUCUCAGACCAGGCUCCCUCCAGUAGCAACUGGCCACCUACACAAGAACUGUGUUACAGGACAAUAUGGCACCUCGCACGCCUUU